rnacentral:rRNA from 1 species
AAACGUAGGAAGCGAGCGUUAUCCGGAUUUACUGGGCGUAAAGCGUGUGUAGGCGGUUUGAUAAGUUGGAUGUGAAAGCUCCUGGCUUAACUGGGAGAGGUCGUUCAAAACUAUCAGACUUGAGAGUGGUAGAGGGAGGUGGAAUUCCGGGUGUAGUGGUGAAAUGCGUAGAUAUCCGGAGGAACACCAGUGGCGAAAGCGGCCUCCUGGCCCAUUUCUGACGCUCAGACACGAAAGCUAAGGUAGC